rnacentral:rRNA from 1 species
GACGAACGCUGGCGGCGUGCUUAACACAUGCAAGUCGAACGGAAAGGCCCUGCUUUUGUGGGGUGCUCGAGUGGCGAACGGGUGAGUAACACGUGAGUAACCUGCCCUUGACUUUGGGAUAACUUCAGGAAACUGGGGCUAAUACCGGAUAGGGGCUCCUGCUGCAUGGUGGGGGUUGGAAAGUUUCGGCGGUUGGGGAUGGACUCGCGGCUUAUCAGCUUGUUGGUGGGGUAGUGGCGUACCAAGGCUUUGACGGGUAGCCGGCCUGGGAGGGUGACCGGCCACAUUGGGACUGAGAUACGGCCCAGACUCCUACGGGAGGCAGCAGUGGGGAAUAUUGCACAAUGGGCGGAAGCCUGAUGCAGCAACGCCGCGUGCGGGAUGACGGCCUUCGGGUUGUAAACCGCUUUCGCCUGUGACGAAGCGUGAGUGACGGUAAUGGGUAAAGAAGCACCGGCUAACUACGUG